GUGUCAGCCGCCGCGGUAAUACGGAGGGGGUUAGCGUUGUUCGGAAUGACUGGGCGUAAAGCGCGCGUAGGCGGAUCGGAUAGUUGGGGGUGAAAUCCCGGGGCUCAACCCCGGAAUGGCCUUCAAAACUCCCGGUCUAGAGUUCGAGAGAGGUGAGUGGAAUUCCGAGUGUAGAGGUGAAAUUCGUAGAUAUUCGGAGGAACACCAGUGGCGAAGGCGGCUCACUGGCUCGAUACUGACGCUGAGGUGCGAAAGCGUGGGGAGCAAACAGGAUUAGAUACCCCGGUAGUCC
rnacentral:rRNA from 1 species